GGAAAAGAAUUUCUGAUGGCGGUCCUCAUUCCCUCUAGAGGCUUAUGAGAUUAAACGAAUUUGCCCGCAAAACUUCUCCCCUCUUAGACUAAAUCACCCUACCCACCACUGUCUGAAGAAUGAUUCACCAAUUUCUAACCCCUUUGUGGGCUUUAAGGCAAGCAACCGUGUAGGUUAUGGAGGGGUAGAAUUGUAAGCCAAUUUUACUAAUUUCGGAAGCUCUGAAAGAUCUUCUUACAGAGAAUUUAGAAGUAAAGUGCGUUUAAAAUACCCACUUGAAUGGUGCACUUGAGGACGU
rnacentral:rRNA from 1 species